UUAUUGUAUAUUAAUUUUACAACUCACAGGGUGCUGUUUUGAUUUUUUGAGACUCCACAAGACCUUUCACCAGACAGGAGGUGGCUCCAUCCUAGUUUCAGGCUUGAUCAGGAGAAGAAGGUUUGGAUUUUGAGAAUUUUAUCUACAAGUGCUAUUCCUGUUCCCUGAAUAAUAUAAAUGAAUUGAUGUUGCUUGCUAUAGAAUGAGAUAUCUUCUACAGUCAUCAUUUGUAUGGAUAUAGGGAUUUGGAGAAACUGUUAUACAGUUCAGAUAGGCUAUUUUAUAAUAAUCAGACAAAGUGGGAGAAUAGUUGUCAUCAUUGUUUUUCAUCUUUCAUCUUCAAAGAGGACCGGUGAUAUUACAGGCUAUUGUGAAUAUCAAACAACCUACCUGUCCCUGUCUCAGGAUCUCAAGGCAGCUGACUAUCUAUCAUAUCUCAACUCCUCUUUUGCAUGAGUCAGGCUGACCAGAUAUGGAAGCUCUUCUUGCCAAGUUGUGAAUAAAAGACCUCUGCUGGAAAGUAUCA
rnacentral:lncRNA from 1 species